rnacentral:rRNA from 1 species
UUGCCAGACUCCUACGGGAGGCAGCAGUGAGGAAUAUUGGUCAAUGGGCGAGAGCCUGAACCAGCCAAGUCGCGUGAGGGAAGACGGUCCUAUGGAUUGUAAACCUCUUUUGCCGGGGAGCAAAAAGCGGUACGUGUACCGCAUCGAGAGUACCCGGAGAAAAAGCAUCGGCUAACUCCGUGCCAGCAGCCGCGGUAAUACGGAGGAUGCGAGCGUUAUCCGGAUUUAUUGGGUUUAAAGGGUGCGUAGGCGGAAUGCCAAGUCAGCGGUCAAAUCGUGGGGCUCAACCCCAUCCAGCCGUUGAAACUGGGGAUCUAGAGUGUGCGAGAGGUAUGCGGAAUGCGUGGUGUAGCGGUGAAAUGCAUAGAUAUCACGCAGAACCCCGAUUGCGAAGGCAGCAUACCGGUGCACAACUGACGCUCAGGCACGAAAGCGUGGGUAUCGAACAGGAUUAGAUACCCCUGUAC